rfam:Triticum aestivum genome assembly, contig: Triticum_aestivum_CS42_TGACv1_scaffold_623754_7DS
UUAAUACUCCAUCCGUCCCGAAUUACUUAUCGCAGAAAUGAAUGUAUCUAGAUGUAUUUUCGUACUAGAUACAUUCAUUUCUAUGUAUUUAUGCGACAAGUAAUUCGGGACGAAUGGAGUAGUAA